AGCGAACGCUGGCUGCAGGCUUAACACAUGCAAGUCGAGCGGGCAUCUUCGGGUGUCAGCGGCGGACGGGUGAGUAACGCGUGGGAACGUGCCUUCUGGUUCGGAAUAACUCAGGGAAACUUGAGCUAAUACCGGAUACGCCCUUUUGGGGAAAGGUUUACUGCCGGAAGAUCGGCCCGCGUCUGAUUAGCUAGUUGGUGGGGUAACGGCCUACCAAGGCGACGAUCAGUAGCUGGUCUGAGAGGAUGAUCAGCCAAACUGGGACUGAGACACGGCCCAGACUCCUACGGGAGGCAGCAGUGGGGAAGAUUGGACACUGGGGGCAACCCUGAGCCAGACAUGACACGUAAGUAAUGAAGGCCUUAGGGUUGUAAAGCUCUUUUAUCCGGGACGAUAAUGACGGUACCGGAGGAAUAAGCCCCGGCUAACUUCGUGCCAGCCGCCGCGGUAA
rnacentral:rRNA from 1 species